AAUAAGAACUUUCCAGAGAUGGAUUGGUGCCUUCGGGAACUUACAUACAGGUGCUGCAUGGCUGUCGUCAGCUCGUGUCGUGAGAUGUUGGGUUAAGUCCCGCAACGAGCGCAACCCUUUUCCUUAUUUGCCAGCGAGUAAUGUCGGGAACUYYARGGAKACUGCCRGUGAYAAACYGGAGGAAGGYGGGGACGACGUCAAGUCAUCAUGGCCCUUACGAGUAGGGCUACACACGUGCUACAAUGGCGCAUACAGAGGGCGGCCAACUUGCGAAAGUGAGCGAAUCYCAAAAAGUGCGUCGUAGUCCGGAUUGGAGUCUGCAACUCGACUCCAUGAAGUCGGAAUCGCUAGUAAUCGUGGAUCAGAAUGCCACGGUGAAUACGUUCCCGGGCCUUGUACACACCGCCCGUCACACCAUGGGAGUUUGUUGCACCAGAAGUAGCUAGCCUAACUGCAAAGAGGGCGGUUACCACGGUGUGGCCGAUGACUGGGGUGAAGUCGUAACAAGGUAGCCGUAGGGGAACCUGCGGCUGGAUCACCUCCUUAACGAA
rnacentral:rRNA from 1 species